UGCCGUAUAUAUCCCGAUAAAUUUAGGUUCUUCUACAUCUUUAAACUAGAAAGUCGUCAUAAUAACCAUUGAAAACUGACAAUUUUAAAAUGAUUUGAUUAUAAAAUAAAUUAAGUCGAAAAAGUAUAAAAUUUUAUCCCUAAAAAUUUUAAAGACGCUAAAUCAGUUUUAACGGUGUGGAUCGUUGAUUUGAACACCCUAAAAUAAAAAAUGAGACUAUAUUACCGGAGUGCCGGUAU
rnacentral:lncRNA from 1 species